AUGCCAGCCAUGUACGCGCUGACCCCCCGCUGCACCCUCCCGCCGGUGCACCGCCGCGCGCCGCCGCCGUGCCGGGCGGCCUCGCCGACGCCGGCGGCGCUGGCCCGCGCCGACCCGGACGAGCUGCGGUCCACGUGGCCGCAGCGCGCGUGGACGCUGGCCGGCUCGGCCGCCGUGCUCUCCUCGCUCUCCGCGUCCGCCUCCCUCGCCGCCGACUCCGGCUCCUACGCCGAGCCGCUCGCCGCCGCCCUCGCCGCCUACACCGUCGCCGACCUCGCCACGGGCGUCUACCACUGGCUCGUCGACAACUACGGGGACGCCUCCACGCCCCUCGUCGGCGCGCAGAUCGCCGCCUUCCAGGGCCACCACCGCCACCCCUCCACCAUCACGCGCCGGGAGCCCUGCAACAACCUGCACGCGCUGGCGCGCGCCGUCGCGCUCGCGCUCCCCGCCGUGGAGGGCGCGGCGGCCGCCGCCCACGCGCCGGCCGCCGCGCACGCCUUCGCGGGGACCUUCGCGGCGUGCGUGGUGCUGAGCCAGCAGUUCCACGCAUGGGCGCACGAGAAACGCCGCCGGCUGCCGCCCGGCGUCGAGGCGCUGCAGGCCGCCGGCGUGCUGGUGUCGCGCGCGCAGCACGCCGCGCACCACCGCCAGCCCUACAGCACCAACUACUGCAUCCUCAGCGGCGUGUGGAACGGGGUGCUGGACAGGCACAAGGUGUUCGAGGCGCUGGAGAUGGUCGUCUUCUUCCGCACCGGCGUCCGCCCGCGGUCGUGGGACGAAACGCAGGCCGCCUGGAUGGAGGACACCAGCGGCGCCGCCGCCGUCACCGCCAUCGCUGUUACUGACAGUUCGUAA
rnacentral:rRNA from 1 species